rnacentral:rRNA from 1 species
AUUGAACGCUGGCGGCAGGCCUAACACAUGCAAGUCGAGCGAGCGGCGGACGGGUGAGUAAUGUAUGGGGACUGCCCGAUAGAGGGGGAUAACUACUGGAAACGGUGGCUAAUACCGCAUACUAUCGGAUCACCCAUAUGGGUUUAGCUGGUAGGUGGGGUAAAGGUGCACCUAGGCGACGAUGUCUAGCUGGUCUGAGAGGAUGAUCGGCAACACUGGGACUUGGACACGGCCCAGACUCCUACGGAGGCAGCAGUGGGGAAGAUGGCACAAUGGGCGCAAGCCUGAUGCAGCCAUGCCGCGUGUAUGAAGAAGGCCUUAGGGUUGUAAAGUACUUUCAGCGGGGAGGCGUUACCCGCAGAAGAAGCACCGGCUAACUCCGUGCCAGCAGCCGCGGUAAUAA